UAUCUACAGGCUUAACACAUGCAAGUCGAGGGGCAGCAUGGUCUUAGCUUGCUAAGGCCGAUGGCGACCGGUGCACGGGUGAGUAACACGUAUCCAACCUGCCGUCUACUCUUGGACAGCCUUCUGAAAGGAAGAUUAAUACAAGAUGGCAUCAUGAGUCCGCAUGUUCACAUGAUUAAAGGUAUUCCGGUAGACGAUGGGGAUGCGUUCCAUUAGAUAGUAGGCGGGGUAACGGCCCACCUAGUCUUCGAUGGAUAGGGGUUCUGAGAGGAAGGUCCCCCACAUUGGAACUGAGACACGGUCCAAACUCCUACGGGAGGCAGCAGUGAGGAAUAUUGGUCAAUGGGCGAGAGCCUGAACCAGCCAAGUAGCGUGAAAGAUGACUGCCCUAUGGGUUGUAAACUUCUUUUAUAAAGGAAUAAAGUCGGGUAUGGAUACCCGUUUGCAUGUACUUUAUGAAUAAGGAUCGGCUAACUCCGUGCCAGCAGCCGCGGUAAUACGGAGGAUCCGAGCGUUAUCCGGAUUUAUUGGGUUUAAAGGGAGCGUAGAUGGAUGUUUAAGUCAGUUGUGAAAGUUUGCGGCUCAACCGUAAAAUUGCAGUUGAUACUGGAUAUCUUGAGUGCAGUUGAGGCAGGCGGAAUUCGUGGUGUAGCGGUGAAAUGCUUAGAUAUCACGAAGAACUCCGAUUGCGAAGGCAGCCUGCUAAGCUGCAACUGACAUUGAGGCUCGAAAGUGUGGGUAUCAAACAGGAUUAGAUACCCUGGUAGUCCACACGGUAAACGAUGAAUACUCGCUGUUUGCGAUAUACAGCAAGCGGCCAAGCGAAAGCGUUAAGUAUUCCACCUGGGGAGUACGCCGGCAACGGUGAAACUCAAAGGAAUUGACGGGGGCCCGCACAAGCGGAGGAACAUGUGGUUUAAUUCGAUGAUACGCGAGGAACCUUACCCGGGCUUAAAUUGCAGAUGAAUUACGGUGAAAGCCGUAAGCCGCAAGGCAUCUGUGAAGGUGCUGCAUGGUUGUCGUCAGCUCGUGCCGUGAGGUGUCGGCUUAAGUGCCAUAACGAGCGCAACCCUUGUUGUCAGUUACUAACAGGUUCCGCUGAGGACUCUGACAAGACUGCCAUCGUAAGAUGUGAGGAAGGUGGGGAUGACGUCAAAUCAGCACGGCCCUUACGUCCGGGGCUACACACGUGUUACAAUGGGGGGUACAGAGGGCCGCUACCACGCGAGUGGAUGCCAAUCCCAAAAACCUCUCUCAGUUCGGACUGGAGUCUGCAACCCGACUCCACGAAGCUGGAUUCGCUAGUAAUCGCGCAUCAGCCACGGCGCGGUGAAUACGUUCCCGGGCCUUGUACACACCGCCCGUCAAGCCAUGGGAGCCGGGGGUACCUGAAGUGCGUAACCGCGAGGAGCGCCCUAGGGUAAAACUGGUGACUGGGGCUAAGUC
rnacentral:rRNA from 1 species